UUUCGGUUUAAUGAUACUGAAGAUUUAUUAUUGUGCAACUAAAAUGUUCCCCUUAAGUUCUAGAGAAAGUAGGGCUUGACGUUGUGAAAAAUGUGAUCAUCAAUCAAAUUGUUACUUUCCUUCAGCUGGAUGAUUUGCUCUUUGCGUACAGAAGUUGUUGUAGACCUAAAGUGUGCUUAUUUCAGCCUGCAAUCUUUGUACUCAACUUUAGUUUUGUUUAUUAUUUGAAAGAAGUUUCUUUCAUAGUUUUAUGAUGGUAGACACAGUCUCUACAGUUUGCCAUGGUUUAAAACCAUACAGCAUCUGUUUUGCUGGUAUUUGGUGCAUUCUUCUGUCUUCUUCUGUUGAUAUUUAGCAGUAAACAAACACCUUUCAGAUUGGCAGUAUAGGCUGCAGCCACUGUGUGCUAGCUGUGCUGCUUUUAACCAGGCCUGGUAAAAAAUAAAAAAGUUUUGGUUAAAAAAUGAGGUAAUCAUUUUUAAUAAAUUAAUGACUUUUAAACAAUGAGAUUGGUUACUAAAAUAGCACAAGUCAGGGUUCCCAUUCCAUGUUAACUAAACAUUAUCACAAAAGAGAAAGUCUGAAAGGCUGAUUUUGGAAAUCAUUCAAUAUUGUUUCCCAAUUUCUUUAAGUUGCAUUCAGUUCAUUUAGCUCUAGCUUUAAGUGACCAACACAGUCUAGAUUAUUGAUGUUUAUUUCUACAGAACUUUACUCUGUCUAAUAUUUCUCAAGAACUGAUUCUAUCUCUUUUCUUAUUGAGGGUAUCAUUGACAGUUAACCUAAAGACAUGCCUCCAUAAUGUUUGUUGCAUUCCUAUAAUUGAUUGAGAAUCCUCUCACAUAAUUAACUUAUGGCAAAUUGAACCUCCUUCAUGGAUCUGAUGCACGCAUUGUCACUGCACAGACCUUUCAAAAUAGCCUCCGCAUUGUCAGUCUUAUUGGAUCAAAUCACUCUGAAUUUGGUCUAUUUAAUAAUCUGAUUGCCAAUUAAGACAGGCGGCAGUGCUUAGAUCUAUAAAAGGUUAAUAAGCCUCAGCUGCAGUGUGUUUCUCUUGGGUAAAUGUCACUUAGAUGUGGGCCACCAUGGGUCAAGAUCUCCCUCCAGAUCUAAAUUUAAUCACAUAGCAUCGCCUGGCCCCGUCUUCACCCUCAUUAGUCCUCGGCUUGUGCAGGAGUAUGAUCUGCCCUGUUUUUAGCCCUGGCACCCUCCUUCCUGACCCCCCUGUGCCAUCGACCAUCAACCAGCAACUGCUGAGACCAACAACUGCAGAUCUACUGUCAGUUUGCAUAGUAACGUGGCCAUUCAGGAGAGUCUUGCAUCAGGGGAUGCUAUGAAAUCUGCUCCUACCAUCAUAUAGUCUGAUCUGUUGGCUGAGCUGUCACCUGGUGCAGGCCUGUGCCACCUGUCGGCCCAUCCCACAUAAUGACAGAGUGACCGGUGCAAUUUCCAGCAGCCGUCUCAUCUUAAUCUUCUCCUCGGAGUUUAAUUAACUUGCUCGUGAUUGGCCUAAAGAGGGGGAAAAAAGCAGCUCUGAAUCACUUGAAAGCCAGGAGAGAUCAUUGUGAGAUUGUGUUUUUGUUUAAAGGUGCAUCAUGUCGGAUAAGUCUUGCAAGGCUGUGCAUGACAGGCACGGGUAAACUUCCGUGUUGUUGGUGGCAGCUCUGCAGGGAAAACGCCGUCGUGUGCUUUGCAUGCAUCUUGAACAUGUCACUUUUUUUUUAAACCACUGUACGCUGCAAACAUGUCAUGGAGCAGGCAGUUUGCAUGGAACAAGAAUGCAAAAUCAUUAAGUCCUGAAUGUUAAUACGAAUUACGAGCAAGAUUGGUAAUAAUUCUUGUGCCCUACAGAAAUGAUUAACAUAAUUCUGAUAAAUAGGCAGAUGGCAGAAUGUGUGAAUUGAGGUAGAUUUAUCUUAAUUAAUAUCUUGAACCUACUUGGAGAAAGGUAAAUGGCUCCAUCGGGGCCAGAGAUGUUCCUCUGUCUUGUGUGUGUAUCUUUCUCACGGCCUGACAUGUAGUAGGGGCCUGAGGAUAUUAAGUUGCUCUCCAGGUAUGCAUCAAAACCCAGGCAGCCUGCUGAUAAUGAACAUAUACCCAGGCAAGUGAGCAACAAAGACACAUACACACACAUGCACUCGCGUACGCACAUAGAUACACACCCAAUCACAUGUCUGACUUUUAAUCCACAAUAAAUAAACAUUUAAACAGUUUCACUUCUCUCAGCUGCUGUGUGCGUUUAUCCUCCUCCUUCCUACAAGCUCAAAUUUCUCCCUGCUUUACUGCUGCCGAUGAAUAAAGUGUGAAUUCCUUUUACUCAUCACAAAUUAAGGCAAUUAAAAUGUUAAUUAUUACAAGUAGAAAAGGGACAAAGGAAUUCAAAUAAAUUGAUGUAUUGACGUUUUUUUUAAUUAAUUCAUUCGGGUUCCUACUGUGUUGGAUAAUUAUGCUUAAGUGUUUAAUUACAUAUUUUGAUGGGAUCCUCAAUUACUCCGGCUUAAUAAAAUAUCAUUAGCCUGUCUCCCAGGUUCUAAGCUGUAGAGACGUACAGUAUUAGAGGAUGUAUUUAAAUAAAAUAUUAGAUUACAGCCUGGUUGGGAUAUGUGACAGGUCUCCAGCCCUCAAUCUCCACUAAAUCUCUGUUAACCUGAAAGCCGCCACUCACAUCAAAGUUUGACACAGCAGUAAACAAACAAUGUCACAUUUACAUAUUAAUUAGUGUCGGGCUAUCAGCACGGCUGAUGAAUUCAAAUGUGUAGCCCUUUACCGUGGCUUUGCAGGGAUCCACAGCCACAGUGCCGCCUGGCGGGAGGCUCAGCGCUCAGAACAAUGAGAAAUUACCUGGACCCAAAGGCCAACCAAACCCUCCCCAUCACAUGCAGGUUUUAUUACAUGGCGAGUGUAAAUAUUCAAUAUCUUUUCUCUGACUGUGUGUCUUACAAAUCAAUUUGCAGUGUCACGACAUCCACUGCGAAAUAUGCAAAGCACAGAUAAGUACCCGGUUGUCAGCCAUCCAGUGUUGCUCAGUCAACCUCCUCUGUCAAAAUGCACUGAAGGAACGACGGCUGCCACCUGGAAUUAUCUUGUUUAAAUCCUCUAAAGGUUAGCGCAGCUCUGCGAGUGAUCCUUCAGUUUUUUAACCUCUUUGUUAUAGUGCACAGAACAUGUUUCCUCUGUGUAUUCUACAGGCUUUACCACUUCAUGUGUUUUACAUCUUCCUGCUAGGAACAAGGAUCCUUGGCAAUGGCUCGGAGGCAAGAUCCUAUAAUUAGAACACAGUUCAGUUGGUUAGCAGGUAAUUUACCUUUAGGGGGAGAAGUCUAAUUAUUGUCUUUGAAAAGCUAAUUUAGCGUCAAACACUUCAGGUGUCUUUUCCCCUCUCUUCAGCAAAAGGGAAAGGUAUCCUGGAGCACUGCGGGGUCUGAGCCAUCUCUUGUGCCUGCUGCUUUUAACUCAUUUAUGUUUACAUGGCUGAUUCCUACAGAGAAAAUUAGGAGCUAUAAAAGUAGCACAGCGCAUCCCACCUCUUAGGUUUCUUCACCAGGUGUGUGCAUGGGGCUUCUUUUGAGAGGGGGCACUGCUCUUUGACCUGCAGAUAAAUACUCUGAACAGGCGGAUCAGUAUUUUUAUUUUUUUUUAAGCAGAUGGUGUUUGUGAGUGACACCGGUUCCCAGCAGAAGCAGGCCGAGGGAAAACGAUCACAGUAGAGUCUCUAUAGAGAAAACCAGCCUGGUUACCUGACGGCAUAUGCUCUGCUGUGGCCUACACCUGCUGAAGGAUGGCGUUUACACCCCGGUCCCUGGACUCCACCUCUGAGGAAGCUGUUAAUCACAGCUCAGCACUCAUUCAGGCACUUUUAAAAAGCAGAAAAUAACUGAGUAGCAGGGGAGGUUCCUCGCUUGAACUAAGAAAUAAGACGCUGUUUUCUAACUUGGUAGUGUUAUUGGGACAUUAGGAGGCUCUGGGAGUUGUUGCUUUUGGAUGAAAAAAAAAAAGAAAGAUUUUUGUAUGCUGCUUUUCUCUCUUUGUUUUUGUCCCUCUGGCAACAUCCAAAGAAAACCAGCAAGCUAAAAUGAAAACUGGGCCCAAGUUCCAAACUACUCGCACAUUUUUAGCAGUUUUUAAGUACAUUUACUCAAACAAAGUAUGAAAAUUAAAAUAAAAUAUACAUAAGAAACUGACUUUGCUGAUUAAAUCUGGCUAUUAUGGGCUUUUUUUAUCACACUGAAAUGAAAAAAAGUAAAAUUUCAUCAGGAAUUUAUGACAAACAAUAACAUUUCUAUUUUUUACAGAUUUAUUCCUACAUUUAUUUAAUACUGCCUUUUUAAUGUUAGUCAGAUAAAGUGAUUUGUACGUGCAGAAUGCAAAGAGCCAUAACAUAAAUAGACUAGUAUGGACUGUCAAACCAUCUUCAUGAGGAGAAAUGUGCAACAGAUUCAGACACAAUGCACAUUCACAAACAUAGGAAAAAGUCGGAAAAGAAUGCAAUAAUUAAACUGUGCGGCAAAAGAACAAAAAAAAAAGGGGGGGGGGGGGGGUACAAAAAGAUUUUAGAAAAUGCAGACAGAAAAUGUGAAUCCAAAUUCUUUACAUGAGCAAUGCAAAUCCAGAAAACACAUGCAAAAGCAAACAUUGCCUCUUAAGAAAAGAGAACAGUAUUGCUCCAAAGAUAGGGUGAACAAAUUCUGACUUCCCAAAUAGAGGACACGACUACAUGGGGGCGGAGUCACAAAGUUAAUUUUAAGAGUUUUUCAGGUUGGAUCAAGUUUUUUACGUGCUUCUAACUCAGUCAGUCCACAUGACACAAAAUCGAAACUUACGUACAUGACCGUGGACAUUUGAAGGAUUUUAUAAACUUCCCGGGAUGCGAUUUUUUUUUGUAGGAUCGUAGGGAAAGUCCCGCCUCCUUCGUCUCUGAUUGGCUAGAAAAGCUGGAAACGUCAUCACACACUCAAGCCAAACUCGGCUGUUGGCUCUGUACAUCGAACAGAACAUUACAAGACAUUAUCGCACUUCUGAAUCUCCUAACCCUAACGCUAACCCUAACCUGACAGACGAUGACGUUUCACAGCCAUUAUGAAUAACCAUUUGGAGCCCAGUACUUCUAGCCUAUCAGAGGUAAAGGAGGGCGGGACUUUCCCCUACCAUCCUACAAAAACAAAAAUAAAAAUUUGCUUCCCGGACAAGCCUGGUCAGCCCUCAAAAUAGAGGACAUGUCUGGGUAAAAGAGGACGUAUGGUCACCCCACCAAGACUGGAAAAGUUGGGGCAGUUUACUAAUUAUUAAUGAAAAACCACAGAUCUUAAACUGAGGAAUUGUUCCUGAUGGACAGCUAGCUCUGCAUGAAAACGUGGCCAUGAGCUACAGGGCUCAAUUAGCCCAGCAGCAGCCCACCAUACUUUUAUUGUAACUCUGUGACAAUGCAGCAUUCUUAUCUAAACAAUAAAUCUCAGUUGUAAGUGUGCCUGAUAAACAAAUAGUCCACAUCACUAAUAACCUGUCUCACAGAGCGCCCCUAGAGGCCUGGAGGAUUUUGGUUGACCAGUCUCAGUUUGCUGUGUUGUAUUUUUGCACAUGCUGUCUGUGUUCGUUUGUUGGUUUAGGUGCAUUAAGAUUUGGCAUUGUUUUUACUUUUUCAGAAUGCUUUUUUUUUUAAUCUUGAAUUUUGCAUUUGUUUUGGACUUCGGCAUUUGUUUGUAAGUUUGCAUUGUUCCUAAAUUUACAGCAUGUUUCUUCUAAACAUGAAAGCAAUUCGAGCUGUUGUGAAUCAGUUAACCUUGUAUCAUAGUUCUAGGUUGAAGACACUACCACCUUAAGAAAAGUUGAACAGCUCACUGUCACUUGUAAGUGAAAUAUAUGUUUAUUUUUUCCAGCAAAUUAAACUAAAUCGUCUUACUUCUAUGAGCUGCUGAGUUCUAUAUUUCAAUUCAUUACAAGAAAUAAGCCUUUCAAAUGACUCCAGGCGCCUCUGCCAUAAACAAAUCUUUUCUCUCCCAAAUAAAGGAAACUUCAAUUUCAAGUACUAAUUGACCCAGAGUACAUCAAUUAGACACCCACUUGUGUUUGUUUAAUGUUUUCAUGUUUCUUUUAGGAUAAACGAAUCCAAUUUAUGCAUAACUUUAUAGUAAAUGUAAGUACAAAACUGCAGCCACUUUCCCUGCUCUGGCUCUAAGAGUGUUUAUCCCUCCAUGCUGGUAAACUCCAGCCACACCAGCAGGGACCGAAGGACAACAGUGUCCACAGUUGCAGGGAUCAGUAACAGGUCCACUGCUGAAAUAUGUGCAGAGUGUCAAUAGUCUGCAGCUCCUCUGUCCAACUGGAAGCAAUCGAGCUGCUAAAACAGAAGUGGUGAUUAGGACACAGUCACCCCAGUUGGUGCCAAUUCAGAUGUCUCAGCUACCCUGGGCACGGCAGUUUGAUCUGCCUCGCUGUCAUUGAUUCACAAGGCUUCCAGCUGGAGCAAAGAUCCCCAUUGAAGCGUGAGAUAGAAACCUCUCCAUCUUGGCACAUCUUGGCUGGCUCAAUCCCCUGCAGGCCAUUAGGGAUAGAAUAUGUUGUUUUCUAUUUUUUUUUCUCUCCUCCAGAAGAAAAAUACAGUCUGUCUUCAUGCUAUAACAGCCAUUACUUAAUUGUGCUGGAUUUUCCGAGCAGAGUGUUGCUUUAAUUAAGCAGCUAAUUGCAAUGUAGCUCUUGAUUAGCUUUGGGGGAUGGGAAUGUUCAGACAGGCUGAUACGUUGUGCACACUUCAGAAUCAUUUACAGAAAUUGAAGCUAAUUUCGCUCUCUGUCUAUUGCUGCAUUAAUUUAAUUUGGGUUGCUUUUAGCUCAUUAACACUUCUAAUUAAUACGUUGACAUCACUAUUAAGAUGUCUCUUUGAAAUUGGUGUCUCCUGAUAAUCAGGAUGGAGGAGGCUGACGGAUGGAGGGAGAGGCUGGCUGGGGAAAAUGUGUAAAACUCCUUCAGACUGAAGGGGAGGGAGAGACGCCGUCCUCGUUUAUAAACCUCUAAUACUGUAUUAUAGUGGACACUAAUAGGGGUCUGUGGCAGGUGACUAAAUUGGAAAUGAAGGGAAAGCUGAUUGUUUUAAAAUUUGAUUGGGGUUACUCUCUGUGUAUGUGUUUAUACGAGCACAUGUGUGUGCAUUUGCGAUGCUCUAGGGAGUUGGGGGCGGAGGUGCGUCAGGGCCAGAUGCCAUACACAGCUGAAGAUCACGCCUGAGUAACUGUGUGUUUGGGUUUGUCAUUUUAAUGAGGAGAAUUUAGUGACUAUGGGCUGGUAACGCUGCGUGAGAAGCCCCAUUACAUUACCAUCACUUUAACCAACCUCCACCUCGUACAGAUAAUGUAGGAUUAUUUUUUUCUGGAGUUAUUUUAGAAAGAGAACAUGUUUUGGGGUUUAUGUUCAUGCGCAAAUUUAGGUGUGCUCUUUUUGUGGUCUGUAUUUUUGAGUUCAAGUCUCUACUCUUGUAUCCCGAAGCUUCGAUUUUGAAAAAUUAACCCUUUUAAAACUCCAAACACCCAAUAAAGUGCAAUUUACCGCUGAAUUAUUGGCAACAUUACCAUCAAGAGGCAUGUUUUUCUCCACAUGACAACCACACACUCAGUCAUGUGCCCUGAGCUAAUUUAACCCCUCUCUGAUUGACUUUCUCUCUCGUUGUCUUCUAUUAGCUUCCAUAAGUUGAGAAAUAAGCAUUGAUUGGGAAAGGAUUCAGUUAUUUGGCAUGCCAAUCAAUAGGGGACCUUGUUUUCCUGUGAAGUGCUUUCUGUACCCGAGUCUUCCUGAGGACAGGCCACACGGUAGGAAAGCCUUCUGUUUAGCACUUCAUUAAAACUGCCUCUAAUAGGAGCCACUGGGGAGAUGCUCCCUGCAUCGUGUGUAAAAGCGAUCAACAUCUGCAUCAAUUAACCCCUUGGUCCCCGUGGGGCCCAUUAGAAAGAGGAACACCCUUUAAAGCUGCAUAUGGUUUUAACUCAUGAUAGAGGGGGAACAAAUAUAAUUGCUUGUUUGCUUAAACAUUUUUUUCAAAUGUUUGUGUAUCCAGAUUAUCUUCAUCAAUAUUUCUGCAGCUUCUAAGAAACUAAGAAAUACUUUACACGAGUUAAAAAAAAAAUAUCAGACUUUAAGUGAGGUCUAUUUUGGUGACAAAAUAAUAUCAACCUGAACUGAUCAUUAUUCAUCAUUUUAAGCUAAAGGGAGAUUAUGGGCUUGGUUUAUGGCUGUGCUGCAACAUCAAGAGUCAAAGCCUUCUUUUUUCUGUUUCUCCAUAACAGACAGGUCCAAUUAGGAGCAUCACCAGCAGGGUGGACACCUGAAAUCACUAUUGACAAGAUGUAAAGAGCAGUAAAAGCUUCCAAGGUGAAACAUAUUGGUUUUUUUUUUCAUGCAAGAGACACUAAAAGGUAUUCUUAAUAUGCAUCUAUUAGGAAAAAAAAAACUUUUAUUUCUUCUUGUUGUAACUGCCUCACAUUUAGAGUAGUGAUCGUUUAUGCAGCAGAUAUCAGUAAAGCAAUUUUUUAUUUACAGGAAGGCGUCAUGUUAUGGAGGUGCAAUGUUUCAACAAGGACUUUUGACGGCGGGAGAACAUCUGAGCGAUAAAAUUUGCCUAAUUAGACCCCGUUUGUUUCAUUCAGAGUGCAGAGCAAUAUUAUGUUUAAAUUGGAAGUGAUUCUUUGUGGCGCGAUAAGUGACUUCACGCUGAAGCCAGCCCUGCGGUGUCUCAUUGUGAUUAAACCAAAUCUAGCUUCUAAUUUAAAGCAGGAAGACAUGACGCAGAGAUAAAAAAAAAACGUAUAUUUGUACAUCAGUAAAGUAUAAUUUUUAAACUUCAUCUGAGAAUAAACGAGCAUGUUGUUUUUCUCAUCACUAGUCCACGUGUGAUUAUCUCCCAGUAUGGAGUGACAGCUGAGCCCUGCAACGUUUAACAAACCCCAAACCAAAUCAAGAGUAAUAAAAUCACUCAUUUUGGUUAAUGAGCAUAUUAACAGCAGAGGUAGUGUUUAAGCACAAACAAGAACAACAACAUUAAUAAUUGCAACUCUCUAGUGCCUGGCUGAUGUAAGCUUUAAUAAUUAACAAGUCUUUGUCUUAUCCCCUGGAGGCUGUAUUCCUAUUAUCCAACUAAGUUACAAACGAGUAAUUACGCUGUCACUGAAUGGUCACAACAGUUUGCCUCUGAAUAUCCCCCGGUCCACGUUUAAUACCUGCUUUCAAUCUAGAGAUAUUCAGCUUACCUGACAGAUGCCUCUGUUAAAGGCACGGCGUGGCAUUUCAACUUAUUUAUUUCACUUUUUUCUCCCCUUAUUAGAGGAUUACUCCUCUUACCUCCUGUGUUUACAUAUUAGUGCUAAUCCAAUUGAGUCAACAAGGGCACUUAGUGCAGGCUAUGAACUGAGUCUGAGGGACUUAAAAUGGGAGGGGUGGGGAUAUUAAUUUACUUCUUCAGAUUUUAGGCUUCCAGGGAAAAUAGUUUUGAACAUCUGCUAUGACAAAUGAAGCAUUGCGAGAGAGAGAGAGCGUGUUGUCAGUGAGAGACUGAGCUGGCUGCUGUUGGAGCUGGCAGUCGGCCUGUAGAGGGAGCCCCUGGUUAUGACUCUGUCUAUGAACUAACUAACUGUAUCUGCACUUUUAUGUAGAGUAUAUAUUUAUGUGUGGAUUUUUUAAACAGUCUUUAGGGAAGCACACAGCCACUCUACAGUGUCUGAUUUUGUUCUACUUCUGCAUAUUCCUCUUAGACACUCACAAGGCAAAAAGCACCAAAGUUUAUAUUUUAAUAAGGGGUGUGACACAACCGAUUGGAAGAGGAAAAACUACUCUUGAGUUUAGUCUUUAAAUUUGAUGUAAAGCGCAACAAUUUCUACUUAAUGAGGAUUCAGGUCCCUUGGCUCUUCCCUACUACCCCCUCUCUCCCCCAUCAUCUCUAUAACAUCAGUCAUGAUCUUUGACCUGAGGGCCAGACCCCGUGUCAGCUCAAACUAAUUAGCCUUUGAUAGCUGGUGACGUGCACAACACCAGUAACACUAGAGUGCUGCUUUUAUAUCACGGGAUCUGGUUAACACGCAGAUACACAUAUUUCAUCUGUAAGAUAGA